rnacentral:rRNA from 1 species
GUGAAUCAUCGAAUCUUUGAACGCACCUUGCGCCCCUUGGCAUUCCGAGGGGCACGCCUGUUUGAGUGUCGUGAACUCCUCCACCCUCUACCUUUUCCGAAGGGCAUUGGGCUGGGAUUUGGGAGCAUGCGGGUCCCUGGCCGAUCCGCUCUCCUUGAAUGCAUUAGCGAAGCCCUUGCGGCCUUGGUGUGAUAAUCAUCUACGCCUCGGUUUAGCGAACAUACGGGAAUCGCUUACAGCCGUCUCGCAAGAGACAACGACUACCAACUUGACCUCAAAUCAGGCGGGACUACCCGCUGAACUUAA